UGAGCCCUGUACUGCGCGUCAGGUUCCAGUCGACGUGAGCCAACACCACGUGACCGGGAAUCCGGCUUUCGUUGGGGUUCGCACGCCCAGAACGAAACACGGGACGCUAUCCCCCAUCGGAGAGGGUACCCACCUGUUGAGGUAGGGUUCAACGUGGACGGAACCAACGGCAGAGACGGGGCUUUU
rnacentral:other from 1 species